AAGGCAAUGAUGCGUAGCCGAAUUGAGAGGUUGAUCGGCCACAUUGGGACUGAGACACGGCCCAAACUCCUACGGGAGGCAGCAGUAGGGAAUCUUCCACAAUGGGCGAAAGCCUGAUGGAGCAACGCCGCGUGGGUGAAGAAGGUCUUCGGAUCGUAAAACCCUGUUGUUAGAGAAGAAAGUGCGUGAGAGUAACUGUUCACGUUUCGACGGUAUCUAACCAGAAAGCCACGGCUAACUACGUGCCAGCAGCCGCGGUAAUACGUAGGUGGCAAGCGUUAUCCGGAUUUAUUGGGCGUAAAGGGAACGCAGGCGGUCUUUUAAGUCUGAUGUGAAAGCCUUCGGCUUAACCGGAGUAGUGCAUUGGAAACUGGGAGACUUGAGUGCAGAAGAGGAGAGUGGAACUCCAUGUGUAGCGGUGAAAUGCGUAGAUAUAUGGAAGAACACCAGUGGCGAAAGCGGCUCUCUGGUCUGUAACUGACGCUGAGGUUCGAAAGCGUGGGUAGCAAACAGGAUUAGAUACCCUGGUAGUCCACGCCGUAAACGAUGAAUGCUAAGUGUUGGAGGGUUUCCGCCCUUCA
rnacentral:rRNA from 1 species